rnacentral:lncRNA from 1 species
AACAUUUUCUUGUGAUUGCUUAAGGUUCAACCCUGGCCUCCACUUUGGGUUAAUUGCAUUUACAACAGUUUCUCUCAUAACUGUCUUUCUUCUCUCCUUUCUUCUUCUUUCCUCUUCUUCUUCGAUCAUUUCUUCUCUGAUUGCCAUUCUGCUCGACUGAAGCAGUUCUCGCCGACUGCCUCUAUCACCACGAUCAACACCAACAGCUCCAGGGAAAAAUCUUAACAUGGUAUCUGAGCUACUGCUUAAAAGGAUAAAGGAAAAAUGAUCUAGGGUUUUCAACAAUCUCUGGUAAAGAUCUUGAUUUUUGCUUUCGUUUAUUGAUUGAUUUCCAAUUUUCCCUAUUUGAUCUAUUGAAGCAUGAAGGAUUAAUACUAAUCCUAAUUAAAUAAAGUUAGAUUAUGUUAGAUUAUUUAGGUGAAGUUAAGUUGGCCCAUACUCAAGGCCCAUUAGGAGUUAGUAUAUAAACAAAUGUUGUAAUAUUUUAUAUUUACUUUUUUCAAAACUAAAUCUAAAACUAAAACCCUAGGGUUUCCUAAACGACUCGCCUCCUCUCCUCCAACGACUCCUCAUCGUCGCCCCUGAUCCCCAGCGUCGCUCCGACUCUCGCUUCACCCAACUCGCUCAACUUCUUCAUGGUAUCAGAGCGCUCGUGAAGCACUGCGUCGAUCGCUUCUCUGGGACUUCCAAAUCCAAAACUUCAUCUCUCUGCCAUCGACCAACCAAGGCAUCUUCAAACCGCGUUUGGUAAAUCUAAAACCCUAGAUCGAUACAUGAUACUCCAUUCUAAGAAAAUCAAAAGUUCAUUCUAUGUUUUUUCAUCUUACAUACUGUGCAUGUCAUCCAAUACAUGUUUAUCUUAUAUACCCAUGUUAUAUGAUUCUUCUUCAAAGCAAAAUGACUCAUCUCUAGUUCAUGGUUUACUGAAUAUUCAUUUUCACAUCAUACCAUAUCACAUACACAUGCUGCUCAUGUACUUAUGCUGUGCCAACGGCAUCUUAAACAUACACUAUGCUAUACAUCCUGCAUGCAUGACUCUCAUUCCCUACAUGCGUUUCAGUCUAUGGAUGUUUAUGUUUACAUGUGUCUUUGCUUACAUACUGUUCUAUGUUUAUGGUGCGAACCUUUGUAUCUUGGCUCAGCCACACAAUGCACUCCCUAUCUAUGGAGCAAUAAAUGAAUCUCGGAAAUACUCUUUUACGCAUACAUUUCAUAUUAUACAUCAUAUACUAAACAUGCAUGCUAGGACUAAGUGCAGGAUAGCAAUAUCAAAUAUCCUCUGGUGCAUGGUUAUCUGUAAAUGUUAUACACACUGUUUAUGCUAUAUCUAUGUGAUUAAUCAUGAAUAUACCAUAUUUUUACAUGACCUGUUAACAAUAAUAAUAUGUUCAAAUCUUGGUGUGACCCAUGUGCACAUAUGUGCACCUGGAUCACACACCAACUAUCUCUCGAAUCUGACCAAUCAGAUUUUAGAUAUAAGACUUCAGAGUCAAUCAUCAGGGUUCUCUGAUGCUCCAAAUCUUGAGACACUUAGUGUCCUCGAGAGGAUCCCAAACUCACCCCAAAAGGUGGGAGCCCCAACUCAAACGCUUCCGCACAAAUCAAAUGCUCUGCUCACUGAUGAAAAAUUGGCUAUUUUCCUAACUCUCAAAAAAUCAAAGAUGACUCACAUGCAAAAACUAAUCACCAAUGUUCAAAACAAAUUCGAAUUAAUCUUGCAAUUCAAUUCAAAUCUGAUCCUCAUUUGUUAUCAGUGCGAAAUCCAUUCAUAUAUCUUAUUGACAUAUCUUUACAAUUUCAACAGAUCCAAAAAAAUGGUUGGUGCUGUUGAAAAGGGACCAAGAGGAGGUCCACUCUUUGACCCCACAUCUCCCUAUUACAUUAAAUCUUCUGAUUCAGGCCCUUUGUCAGUGAUCAAUGUCCUGCAAGGGAGUCAAAACUACUAUCAAUGGAGUAGGGAGAUGACAACCAUACUGUUGACAAGGAGGAAACUGGGAUUUGUCCUGGGUACUAUGAAGAGGCCUGCUGACUCAGAGGCAGAAGAACUUGAAGCCUGGAUCACCUGUCAUGGGGUGGUUAGGCAAUGGAUCUGGAGCUCAGUCUCCAAAGACAUAGAAGCCCAAAUCAUGUAUACCGAUGAUGCAUCUAUAGUCUGGAAUGAUCUCAAGGAUCAAUUCAGACAAUCUAAUGAAACACAUAUAUAUCAGCUAUCCCAAGAUGCUGCCCUAAUGCAACAAGGGAGUGACAGUGUCUCAAAAUUUUGCACGAACCUCAAGUCCAUCUGGAGGGAAGUUGAUGCCUAUGGGGAGACACCCCAAUGCAGCUGUGGAAAAUGUGAGUGCAACAUGAGUGGCAGGGUGAAUGACAAAGAGGACAGGCUCAAAAUCAGGAAGUUCCUCAUGGGUCUGAGGGAUGACUUUAGGCAGGUCAGAUCUCACAUCUUAUCACUAGAGAAACUGCCUCACUUUGGUAGAGUCUACUCCAUGGUGGUACAUGAAGAAUCACAGUUGCAACUCUCUGAACAUAACAAUAAUCACCAAGCAUCUGCAUUUUACUCAGCCAGAAAUCAAAGUCAAAACAGACAGUUUAUCAACAACAAUGCUUCAUCCUCACACACACCUAAACAUGCUCCUGUACCUCAAAACCCAAGGAAGAGGCCACCUACUCCAACAGAACCUCUGUAUUACAAAAGUGGCAAACAAGUGAAUACAAGAUACUAUUGCUUCCACUGUGCGGCCUUUGGGCACAGUGAUGAAAAAUGCUUUGUUCAGCAUGGAUACCCAUCAUCAUCCAGGGGGACAACAUUCACAAAGAAACCAAACCCCACUGUGACUCCAACUGCUGAAACAAAACCACAGGGCUCAGCCAACUGUGUAUGCACUGAAGAAAACUGGUCUGCUUGGUCUGAGAGGGAUAAGGGCAAGAAAAGGGUAAACACACCUGAAGAACCAAUUGGCCCCCAUGGGUUCCCUCUCUACUCAGAAAAGUACAAUCCCAAACCUCUUCCCAAAUACACAGGUCCAGGUUCAGGUACUAUCAAUUCUAUUAUGAACUACAAUAAUCAAAAUGAUUUUUGGAUCAUUGACUCAGGUGCAUCUGAGCAUCUGAGUGGGGACAGUUCCCUCUUCCAAAACAUACAAAAAUGCAAAACAUUUCCAAUAUCAUUACCUAAUGGUGAUAAACAGAUGGUAUCUCAGAAAGGGGAUAUCAUCCUAUCACCAUACAUUACACUAAAUGAUGUGUAUUUUAUAUCAUCAUUCCAGGUCAACUUGCUAUCAGUCAGCAAGCUGACCCAAAGUGAUAAAUUUUCAGUUCAAUUUUCUAAAUCUUCUGCCCUUAUCUAUGACAAGGUUCUGAUGAGGGAAGUUGGACAGAGUAGCCUGAAGAAUGGAUUAUACAUCUUAUCACACACUGGUGGUAAGAAUCAUUUUGCUGGUGCCAUUUCAACAAAGACUUGGCAUAAUAGACUUGGCCACACCUCAUGUGGCAGACUUAAAUUUAUUUUAAACAAUAUUUCUCCUAACUAUUAUAGUACUGAUUUUCCAAAACACUGUGAUAUUUGUCAUUUUGCUAAACAAUCUAGAACAGUCUUUCCAACACAAGCAUCUAGAUCUAAGAUUGCAUUUGAUCUCCUUCACAUAGAUGUGUGGGGGAACUUUCACACUCCAACCAUCCAUGGAAAGAGAUACUUCAUGACUGUUGUGGAUGACUACUCUAGAUAUGUAUGGACUUUUUUAAUUUCCACAAAGUCUGAAUGCUUUUCUAUGUUUAAAGGACUAUAUUUUUUAAUUGCUAAUCAAUUCAAUACCUCAGUUAAGGCUAUUAGAACAGACAAUGGUGGGGAGUUCUUCUCCCUAACCAUGGAUGAAUUCCUGAAAGACAAAGGAAUCAUCCACUACUCUAGCUGCCCACACACACCACAACAGAAUGGUGUGGUUGAGAGAAAACACCAACACCUGUUAAAUGUUGCUAGGGCAUUGAAGAUACAGUCAUCACUGCCCAUUGAGCUGUGGGGAUAUUCCAUACUACAUUCCACAUUCAUCAUAAACAGACUACCUUCCAGGGUAACUCAAAACUUAUCACCUUUUGAGCUAAUACACUCAAAAGAGCCAAAAUUCAAAGAUCUUAGGACAUUUGGAUGUCUAUGUUAUGUGACAUGCCUCACAAAAGAGGACAAAUUUUCUCACAGAGCUAGAAAAUGUAUUUAUUUGGGUCAAUCCCCAACCCAAAGAGGCCACAUAACAUAUGACUUGGACAGUCAUGACAUCUCUGUCAGCAGAGAUGUGAUCUUCUAUGAAGAUAUUUUCCCACUUAAGGAAGGAAAAAAAUUAAAGCAGCCAAAUACCAAAAAUAUACAAAUGAAGAGGAGGAUGACAAACCUCAAACUAAUGAGGGAGACAGUUCUGUAACUUCCACUGACACAGUGGAGGAUCAAGAGCAAAUCCACAACCUAUCAGAAGGGGAAGAGAACCCCCUUCCAGACCAAAAUGCAGUCCCUGGGAGAUAUCCUAAGAGGCAAACCAAACCACCAAUAAGGUUAAAUGAUUACUACUGCUCGUUUGCAACAAGUGAAGGGAAAUCCAAAGGAACAGCAUUUCCAAUGCAUGACUACUUGACCUAUAAAAGACUAUCUACCUCUCAGAUUGAUUACCUAGAUAAGAUAUCUACAACAACUGAACUCUCUUCCUUCCAUCAAGCAAGCCAGAGCCCUGAGUGGGUAAAGGCUAUGAAUGAGGAACUCUCUGCCCUAGAGUUAAAUGACACUUGGGAGAUGGUACCCAAACCCAAGGGCAGGAAGGUAGUGGGAUCCAGGUGGGUCUACAAGGUCAAACAUAAAUCUAAUGGAGACAUUGAAAGGCUCAAAGCCAGACUAGUGGCCAAAGGUCACACCCAAGUAGAAGGUUUUGACUACAAAGAAACCUUCUCCCCAGUGGCAAAGAUUAUAUCAGUAAGGACCUUACUUGCAGUAGCCUCCAUUAAAAAUUGGGCAACAUACCAAAUGGAUGUUAGCAAUGCAUUCCUGCAUGGUGACCUGUCAGAAGAAAUUUACAUGUCACCACCCCCUGGUAUGUUACCUGAAAAUGACUCUAGGGUUUGCAAACUUAAAAAAUCUUUAUAUGGUCUAAAGCAGGCCAACAGGAACUGGUAUGAAAAACUCACCAAAUCUCUGUCAAAUUUUGGGUACACCCAAUCACAUUCUGAUUACACACUAUUCUUCAAAUCAAAAAAUAACACUUACACAUGCUUGCUAAUAUAUGUGGAUGAUCUAAUCAUAUCUGAUAAUAGUGAAGAAGAAAUCCAAAAUCUGAAGAAUCAUCUACACAAUCAAUUUCACAUAAAAGAUUUGGGGAAACUUAAAUACUUCUUGGGAAUUGAAGUAUCUCACUCAGACAAAGGGAUUUACUUGUCCCAAAGGAAGUAUGCUUUAGAUAUUCUUCAUGAUUUUAAUCAACUGGGGUCUUCCCCAUCAAAAAUACCAAUGUCCCACAAUUACAAAAAUUCAGAAUGUGAUUCUCCAAUGAGGGAGCCCUCAAUCUACAGGAAACUAAUUGGCAAAUUGCUAUAUCUCACAAUAACGAGACCAGACAUUGCAUUCUCUGUUAGCCAUUUCAGCCAAUUCCUUGCAAAUCCACUGCAAUCCCAUUUCAAUUCAGCAAUGAAAAUUCUAAAAUACAUCAAAGGUGCUCCUGGGAAAGGAAUAUUAUACAGAAGAGAUGCACCAUUAAAACUUGAAGCCUAUUGUGAUGUAGAUUGGGCUGACUGUCCCAACACUAGAAAAUCCAUAACAGGUUACUCAAUUCUUUUGGGUGGUUCAGCCAUUGCUUGGAAGUCAAAAAAGCAAUCCACGAUAAGCAGGUCAUCUGAUGAGAGUGAAUACAGAGCUAUGGCCUCAACAGUUUGUGAGAUCAUGUGGUUGCAUUAUUUUUUAAAUGAUUUGCAGGUUAAACCCACAGAGGAAACAACAUUACAUUGUGAUAACAUGGCUGCCAUCCACAUUGCAUCCAAUCCAGUCUUCCAUGAACGAACUAAACACAUUGAGAUUGAUUGUCAUCUAGUUCGUGAUCACUUACAAGCAAGACUAUUUAAAUUACAUCAUGUUGCAUCAAUUGAUCAAAUUGCAGAUAUUCUUACAAAGCCAGCAAGCUUGGAAUCACUCAGGAAUCUACUACCCAAGCUGGGACUCUAUGAUAUACACUCUCCAGCUUGAGGGGGUAUUGAAGCAUGAAGGAUUAAUACUAAUCCUAAUUAAAUAAAGUUAGAUUAUGUUAGAUUAUUUAGGUGAAGUUAAGUUGGCUCAUACUCAAGGCCCAUUAGGAGUUAGUAUAUAAACAAAUGUUGUAAUAUUUUAUAUUUACUUUUUUUCAAAACUAAAUCUAAAACUAAAACCCUAGGGUUUUCUAAAUGACUCGCCUCCUCUCCUCCAACGACUCCUCACCGUCGCCCCUGAUCCCCAGUGUCGCUCCGACUCUCGCUUCACCCAACUCGCUCAACUUCUUCAUGAUCGAUUUCCGAUUGGUGUCAUUUUCUUGAUACUGAUUUUACCGAUAUCAAUUUAGGGUUGUCGAUUUUUUUCCCAUUUCUUUCUUUCCGCGAUUUCGAUUUUGUGAAAGAUUUCGUAGAGAGUUCGUCUUUGAUUUCGAUUUGAUUACGUCUCUGGAUUUCGUUUUCUGUUCAGAUUUUGAUUACAUAUUCAAUUUCUGUUCUGUUAUGUUCAGAUUUUGUUUUCAGAUUACGUUUUGACUCUCGGUUCUGUUUCAAUUUGGAUUACGUGUUCAAUUUCAGUUCUGUUUCAAUUUAUUUGAUUGAGUAGAUUUUAAUCUCGCGGAUUGAUUCCGACUUUGUUUCAAUUUUGAUUUGUUCAUCACGGUUUGUUUUGAUUUGAUUAAUUAACUGGAAAUUACGGGAUUGCAAGUGGGUUGUAAUUCACUGCGCUACUUCAUCGUGUUUUUUGGAUUUAAUUGAUUUGGUUCAGUCAUUACGAUUUUCAUAUUCUAAUUUCAGUGAUUGUGAUUUUCUAAUUUUUAUUUUCAGUGAUUUCUGAAUUUACUUGAUUGACUUAUUUUAUUUUCAUCUCCUUACACUGAAUUUUUAUUUUCAGUGAUUUUACUAUAUCUUUAAUAUCGUAUCCUUGUUCUCUAAUACGUUUUUUUUAUAAAAAAAAUUUGGGGAUUUUUCUGGGUUUUUUUUUGGAUAAAUUCUGUAAUGGCAACCAAUCACAUGGUUGUAUCAAGAGAUAAUUAUUUAAAACAAAAUACGAUCUAUGAUUUGCUGGACGAACUGGUACGUUUUUAAUUUUUUUUUUUCUUUAUUUUUGUUUUUUCUAUUUUUUUUUAG